rnacentral:snoRNA from 1 species
GUACUAAUGGGAAACAUCAGGGAGCCCUUCAAUACCUGAGUGAAAACUCUAUACCAUCAUUCUCAUCGAACUGAGGUUC